CCACCACCUACUGGUACUAAACAUAGGUUACCGUUGUCAUUGAGAAGAAGUAAAAGAUAAACUAUAUAAUACACUGAUGAGUGACAUACAGAAUAAGGAAUCAAAGAAGAUCAAGAUGUAGAAUUUAAGAGAUUCAUGAAUGAAACCGGGGAUGCAGUAAAGAGGUUCUCUGACCAAUUAUCCGCCACCUCCCUCAUGACCUGGUAAAAUAGACUGACUCUCGAUAGGUUACGGGCAAAGAGGGCGGUAUAGGUAGAAUGAUUAAGUUCAUUACUGUACGUACAUUUGAUAACACAGCUCAUCUUUGGGAAAUGGAAAAGUGUUGCAAGAACUGUAUUAUGGGCUGCUUUCACCUGUAUGAGUGUCUUUGGGUUGUGUGGUUGUUGUUUGGUCCCGUGUGCGAGAGGUUUAAUCACCAGAACUCUAGAGAGAUGGAUAACGGAGCAGAUGGUGAGCUACGGACCGAGUCAAAGUUCAGACCAAUGAGACAAGUACCUACCGCCGAGCAAGGUGGAGGAUUCAUUCAAAUAUGAGGAGCACAUGUUAGAUGAGACCAUCUAUUGGGAUGCAUGAAUUAGUUUGAAUUUGUGUGAAAUUUCUGAAUCCAAUAAAAAUAGGUGGUGUUAUAAUGUAUGUGAAAUAUCUAGCAAAACGGGUGGAUUGUAAUGGAAAUUAUAUGAUUUUAAGCCCUAUUGAGACUUGACAAG
rnacentral:lncRNA from 1 species